GACGAACGCUGGCGGCGCGCUUAACACAUGCAAGUCGAGCGAGAACCGGCCUUCGGGCCGGGGAAAGCGGCGAACGGGUGAGUAACACGUGGGUAAUCUGCCCUCGGCACCGGGAUAGCCCGGGGAAACCCGGAUUAAUACCGGAUGGCCCUUUGAGUCCUCGGAUUCAAAGGAAAAGGUAGCUUCGGCCUCCGGCCGAGGAUGAGCCCGCGGCGGAUUAGCUGGGUGGUGGGGUAACGGCCUACCAAGGCGACGAUCCGGAGCUGGUCUGAGAGGACGAUCAGCCACACUGGGACUGAGACACGGCCCAGAAGCCUACGGGAGGCAGCAGUGGGGAAUCUUGCGCAAUGGGCGAAAGCCUGACGCAGCGACGCCGCGUGAGGGAAGAAGGCCUUCGGGUUGUAAACCUCUUUCAGGAGGGACGAAGCCACUCGGGUUAAUAGCCCAGAGGGUGACGGUACCUCCAGAAGAAGCCCCGGCUAACUACGUGCCAGCCGCCGCGGUAACAC
rnacentral:rRNA from 1 species